GCCGGAGUGGCGGAACGGCAGACGCAGCCGACUCAAAAUCGGCCGCCCGAGGAGGGCGUGUGGGUUCGAAUCCCACCUCCGGCA
rnacentral:tRNA from 1 species